rnacentral:lncRNA from 10 species
CUGAGCCCAAGACCCGAGACACGGCCCCCACUGAGACUGGGGGUGGCUCUGGGCACCAAUCUCGUGUGUGGGGGCCCCCCACCGCCCACCCCCGCCCAGUCUCCAGGGGUUGUCUGGGGCACUUUGCCCUCCCCAAGGCCCCCCACGCCCAUUCCUCUUUGAGCCCCGUGCCCCUGAGUGUGCCGGGCAGUCCCUGGGAGCCCUGUGGUGAUGGCAGCCACACCUCCCGGCCCUGCUCAGAGUCAGGGGUGCCCUUCAGGAUGGGCUAGCCGCAGCCCAUGGACCCUGCCUCCUGGGGGGCCGCCCCCCAACACGCUUCACCGCCGCCGCGCCCUGCCCCCGGGGCAGCUUUCAGGACUGUUUGUCACCAAGGCCAGUGGUUGCAAAACAAGUGGGGCCUGAAUUUAUAGGAACUUAGAAUUUCUCCAGGGCAGAAGGUUGAAUAAAUGCAGGGGAACGUCAGGGGCAGAUGAGGGGAACGUCAGUGGCAGAGCUGACGCGGGUUCCCUCCCUCUCUCCUGGCCGUGGACCCUCGCUUGCAGAGAGGGGCCGGCCCGCGCACCCCCGGCUUCCGAAGCUUGUCUCCAGUGACUUAUUCUCGUCUGUGCAGCGGCCAAUUCUGAGUUUGGGGCAGGAGCCCUGGGUGGCCCCUCAGAUCCCUGCAGGCGUCCCUCGAGUCCGCCGGCCCUGUCUGCCGGAGCAGCUGGGCUUUGCUCUUCGCAGAUAAAGCUCCUGGCACCCGUUCCAUGCUCCUCGGGUUUGUUCUUUAUUUUAAAUCCUUUAAAGUAAAAAUCUCUGUCUCUCUCCCUCCGUCUUUCUCUCUCUCAUUAUCAACUUUUCUGCUCUCAGAAGCCCUUUUGAUCUGGAGCCUUGAGAUGCUCUGUCACUUAGAGACAAGCCCCCUGCUUCUCUUUUUGACUUCUGUCCUUCCCUGUCCGUCCUCUCCCACGUGGCCCUCAGUGGCCCCGCUAACCUGGCCCUGGCCCUGGCUUCCAGGUCUCUUGGCUGGCCUUUUGCAUUCAUCACUUUACAUUUUUCCAUUUUGAGUCCCAGGAAGAUUUAUCAACUUCUCCUCAAAUUCCCGAGUUCACCACCAGAAACCAAAGUUGCCGUUUCAUUUUCGGGCUGUUGCCACGAGACCUGCAGGCUCCAGCACCCACGAGGCCCAUGGCCACUGGGAGGGACAUUGGUGUUCCCAGGGUGUGAGGGCACCUUGGCCGGCAUGGCGGGGACACGGGGUCAUGCCCACCAUGCUGGUUCUGCUGAUGCCAUGGGCCUCUGAGUACUCACUGCCCUGGGUGUGCGGGGCUCGGUGCGGGGAAGAAGAAAGUUUAGCACGAGCGAUCGGGGUGGCCAAGAGCCUGGCAUGCACAGCCCUGUUCGGGAGCAGUGUCUGUUUUCUUGUCUGAGCAGUGCUUUGCAGUGGGAUUUGCAGCCGCAAAAGUUCUUGGCUAAGACGCUUGUGUCUUAGGAAAUGUUGGGUUGCACGUUUAUUUUUAGCUUCAGGAAUGUGACACUUGAUAUUAUUUGGGUUUUUGAGAGGGCCAAUCCUGGAACACUCUUGCCUAAAAGUGAAGGUGACAGCUCCACAUUGGAAGAUGCAAGCUGUCCUGCUCUAUCCUGCUCUGUCCUGUCCUGCUCUAUCCUGCUCUGUCCUGUCCUGUCCUGUCCUGUCCUGCUCUGUCCUGUCCUGCUCUGUCCUGCCAGGGUGGGAGUCACGG